rnacentral:rRNA from 1 species
GACGAACCGUGCGAACGUUAUUCGGAAUCACUGGGCUUAAAGCGCGUGUAGGCGGGGGCGGUGCGUCGGUCGUUGAAAGUCCCCCGGCUCAACCGGGGGAAGUGGCGCCGAUACGACCGCCCUGGAGCGACGUAGGGGGAACUGGAACUUCCGGUGGAGCGGUGAAAUGCGUUGAGAUCGGAAGGAACGCCCGUGGCGAAAGGCGAGUUCCUGGACGUGGGCUGACGCUGAGACGCGAAAGCCGGGG